rnacentral:sRNA from 1 species
AGUUUGGGUACUUAAUUUUCUAUUUUACAGGUGAAGAUGUCGGGAGAGAAGAAGCAGAUGCAUCUGGUGUCGAGGAUGACUACGACUUUACAUACUAUACUGAAAAGCUCGGCAGAACUCUCGCUCAGUGUGGAGAUGACUUUUUAAAACCAGCAAACAGAGAGGCCAGUGCUGAAAACAGAAACCUUCGGGAAAUAUUUACUGGUAUAGAUCAACAGAAUGAGGAGGAGGCACAGAAGAAGUUUAAUGAAAUCAUGUCGAAGUCCAUCAAAGACAGUGGCAUCACUAACCCUAUACAAAUUUUUAGAUCCGUCUUGUUAACUCUGCAUGGUUUGAAGUCUUUGGGGCGUGGCGUCACAAUGUUUGCUUCAAAACUAGCUGAGAAAUUUGUAAUACAGAGAGCCCUUAAUGAGGACAUAGCUAGAGUAGGAGGACUGAAAAAAUUUUUGGCAACGCAGUUGGAUUGAUAUCUGUACAACAUUUAGGUCAAGGUUGUGUUGUUUCAAAAAUUGUGAUCAGUAAUUCCAGUGAAAGUUUGACAUAUGCACUAAGAAUAUUCUUUGAAAAAUUGUUAUUCCCAAAAACACACACAAAAACAAUGGGAUUAACCAAUUGUGCAGAUGUGCCAAAUAAUUUUAACAGCAACAAGGAGAUGGGAGUGGAAUUCAUGAAUUUAAAAAAAAGAAAUUAUUUUGAAUUCAUAUAGACACAUCUUGUCUUCUAAAUGAAUGUUUUAGAGAGGAAGACUAGUUCUUUGAUACCAGUACAGCUUUCUAAAUGAAGGAGGCCUUAGUGCAAUUAAAUUCUAUGUGCCUCUUUGCUUUCUAACUUGUGUCCAAAAAAAAAAUCUUGUGUGGCAUCAGCUGUUGCUGUUUUUUUUAUAUCAAAACGUUGUCGUUGUUUUAGUGUUUAGUCAAGUCAACAAAGUUUUGCUGGCCAACUUAUUCCCUCUCAGUCCAAGGAUUGAGUGUUAUGCUAACUACUCAUAAACAUAUCUAAACAUUGGCAUUGUCAGCUAUUUUCUUUUUAACUCUUCAUAACCAGAGUUUCAAAUAGUUCAAAGCAAGUUAAUGUUAUAAACUUGUUCCUGUCUAAGAGUAGAUAAUUUGUAAUCUUUAGAAUAUCAUCAAAAAUUUUGAAUGAUUUUUGUUUUUGAGACAUUGAAAAAAAUAAAUGUUAGGCAAAUAUUGCCACUUAAGUUGUCACCUUUUGAAAAAAAAAUUUUUUUAUAUGUCUAACUUAAUAAACUCAUUAAUUUAAGAUAAAAUAAAAUUAAUGUCAUAUAUAAUUUGUAAUUUAAAAGUAAAAAGGAUUAAAAUAUUAUUGUUAUCUUAUGCAAAAUGUAAGCUUGUAUUUAUGACACUUUUUCAUAACAGUAUUAUGUUAAAAAUGUGUUUUUAAAAUAAUAUUCAUGUUCAUCUGAAUUGAAAUAUUCAUUUUAUUCGUUUGUUCAGCAUUUUUUUUUCUUAUUUAUACUAUGCAGAUAUGCUUCUAAAUAUUUUUUAAACAGACCCAUGCAAGCAAUUUAAUAUUGAUCCAAUCCAUUUGAAUUUAAAUAUUCCUUUUAUAUUCUUUUUCAUUUUUUUUUAUAUAAGCUAUGUAAAUACAGGAGGUCCUGAGGCUAAGUUAGUCCCAGUUACGAUGUUUCAUCGUUGCAACACAUUUCCCAUAGACUGUAUAAAGCUUGACAGAAAAAUUUUGCCCUGAUAGAGGAAGGGUUGUCAAAGUUUUUGAGGCUGAGGAUCUCAAUGUGGGCAGGUAACUAAGGUUGCCAGAGGAGGUCUUGAAUUGCCUACGAUGUUACAAGUAGAUCUUGGAGAAGAGAUCCUACACUCUCUACCUCUGCUGCCUCUCCAGACAUACCUGUGCCAGUAUUUCCAGCAUCUUCUGCCUUUCUAGAUUCACAUGCCCCAGUUUAUCCAGUACUUUCUGCAGCUUCCUCCUCCCAAUAAGUCUGACGAAGUGUUCUCUCUAUUUUUUUAACUGUUUAUUUAUUACUAUUUCAUUUCAUUACUAAAUAAAUUAUAUAUUUCCCUAAUGAGCUUUUUGAGAAUUAUGCGGGUUUCUUAGAAUAGGAUAAAUGCUUACAGUAUUUAAGUACAGUGUUCCGACUUACACUGAAAAUCGGUUUACGAUGUAACUUAGGAACAACUAAAAAUCGGUUUAUGAUGUAACUUAGGAACAACUGACAAUCGGUUUACGAUGCAACUUAGGAACAGAUUAACAGCUUAACCUGAGGACCGCCUGUAUGCUUUUAACUGGUUUUAUCAAACAUAUGCAAACAUUUUAAAUGUAUUCAUCUCAAUUUAAAUACUUAUUUUAUUCACUUAUUCAUUUAUAAGUGUUGUUUUUUUUCAUAAUUAAAAUUAUAACCAAUACAAAUAUAUAUAUAAUAUAUUGUUUUUAACAGACAUAUGCAAACAUAUCUGUAUAUAUAUUGUAUGACUCAUGCUAGUUAGAUAAGGUUUCCUAGUGCAUGGAACACACAUCUUAAUUGUGUCUUCAGGAGGUUCUUACAUUCACAAACCUUAA